rnacentral:miRNA from 1 species
UCUGUGUGUGUGUGUGUGUGUGUGUGUGUGUGAACAGCACACACACACACACACACACACACACAAAAU